rnacentral:rRNA from 1 species
CCUACGGGAGGCAGCAGUGGGGAAUAUUGCACAAUGGGCGAAAGCCUGAUGCAGCGACGCCGCGUGGGGGAUGAAGGCCUUCGGGUUGUAAACCCCUUCAGCAGGGAAGAAGCGAAAGUGACGGUACUGCAGAAGCCCUCCCC